GAUUUCAGCAAUACAGGCUGUGUAAAAAGUUAGGGAAUACACUAUUUGCAGUGGUCAACAGGCGUUCCAUUCGGCAAACCCAGAAGAGAUUGGGCGCUAGCAUUAUCGCCUUUUACAAAGAUAUCCGAUUCCUGAAGAAAUUUGACUAAUGCACUGUUCGGGAUGGAGAUGAGGCUUUCUUGGUUCUUUUCUUUCUGACACCAUGUAAAGACGUUUACUUAUUGAUGAGGAUUGGCGUGGAUUGUAUGCACAAAGAUCCUAGUUUCAUCACGAUCAAAACACGGGUUCUCCAGUCCCUACCUCAGAGCCCACGUUCCUCAUGGUCAGCACCGAGAAGUGAGAGGCUCUGGUUGUAACCGAUUUUAAGUUGGCGUCCGGUCCGUGAAUUUCGGACCGGAAGUUUCAACUGUGCAUGCCUAAAUCACAGUUAUGUGUGACAUAGUAAGUGCUAUAAGCGUUCACAAGCAAGGCAUCCUUCAUAAUGRCAGCAAGGGCAACAACAUAGAUAUUCAGGAAAAUCAAGAAAGCACGUGUCCUGUUCUUAUUGAUUUGGGCAAAGCUACCUACAUAAACAAAUCUAGAGRUAUGUAGCGGAGUGUGGUUGUACUAAAUUAAAAUUACUGAUAACAAUUGUUUGUUAUCAUCAUAACAUGGCCGUGGAGAGCAUUUCAAUGUUUAGCUUAGUUUAUUGGAAUUUUGCCACAAACAUAAUACAAUU